GUCUGUGGCUCAGUUGCAGAGCAUCUGCUUGGCAAACGGAAGAUCCCAGGUUCAAUACCCAGACCUGGCAUCGCCA
rnacentral:tRNA from 1 species